rnacentral:rRNA from 1 species
AAAACUUUCAACAACGGAUCUCUUGGUUCUGGCAUCGAUGAAGAACGCAGCGAAAUGCGAUAAGUAAUGUGAAUUGCAGAAUUCAGUGAAUCAUCGAAUCUUUGAACGCACAUUGCGCCCCUNGGUAUUCCGGGGGGCAUGCCUGUUCGAGCGUCAUUA